rnacentral:rRNA from 1 species
AUUGAACGCUGGCGGCAGGCCUAACACAUGCAAGUCGAACGAGUGGCGGACGGGUGAGUAAUGUCUGGGAAACUGCCCGAUGGAGGGGGAUAACUACUGGAAACGGUAGCUAAUACCGCAUACCAUCGGAUGUGCCCAGAUGGGAUUGGCUAGUAGGGGGGGUAACGGCUCACCUAGGCGACGAUCCCUAGCUGGUCUGAGAGGAUGACCAGGCAAACUGGAACUGAGACACGGUCAAGACUCCUAGGGGAGGCAGGAGGGGAGAAGAUUGGACAAUGGGAGAAAGCCUGAUGCAGCCAUGCCGCGUGUAUGAAGAAGGCCUGAGGGUUGUAAAGUACUUUCAGCGAGGAGGCGUUACUCGCAGAAGAAGCACCGGCUAACUCCGUGCCAGCCGCCGCGGUAAUA